rnacentral:tRNA from 1 species
CAAAAAGUAGCUUACAUAAAGCAUCUGGCUUACAACCAGAAGUAGSGUUGUUUAUCAACCAUUUUG